GAGAACAAGGUUAACAAACUGCA
rnacentral:siRNA from 1 species